rnacentral:misc_RNA from 1 species
GAUUCACAACUUCUCCAUUCUCUCAUUUUCUUUUGUUCUUUCGACUAAUCCUUCUCAUAGUCAACUUCUUCAAUCCUACCCUCCUCUCUAAAUUACUCUGCUCCCUUAACUUCUCCAUGAACUUGGUAGCAUUGUGUCUCCAGUUGUGUCUUUAGCAGAUCGAAAUCAGUGAAAGAAACUCAGAAUGCUUCCAGAUUGCGCCACCAUCAACGAGAAGAACCGCAACGACAACCAUGCCACCGGAUCUGUGAGCAGUAUCGCGUCUACACAGAUCAACUAAGAGCCAGGACAACAACUUCGUUACUUUCCACUGAUUGUUGCAUUGUUGCUUUU